rnacentral:rRNA from 1 species
AGUGAACGCUGGCGGUAGGCCUAACACAUGCAAGUCGAACGGCAGCACAGUAAGAGCUUGCUCUUACGGGUGGCGAGUGGCGGACGGGUGAGGAAUACAUCGGAAUCUACUUUUUCGUGGGGGAUAACGUAGGGAAACUUACGCUAAUACCGCAUACGACCUACGGGUGAAAGCAGGGGAUCUUCGGACCUUGCGCGAUUGAAUGAGCCGAUGUCGGAUUAGCUAGUUGGCGGGGUAAAGGCCCACCAAGGCGACGAUCCGUAGCUGGUCUGAGAGGAUGAUCAGCCACACUGGAACUGAGACACGGUCCAGACUCCUACGGGAGGCAGCAGUGGGGAAUAUUGGACAGUGGGCGCAAGCCUGAUCCAGCCAUACCGCGUGGGUGGAGAAGGCCUUCGGGUUGUAAAGCCCUUUUGUUGGGAAAGAAAAGCUGCAGGUUAAUACCACGCUGUUCUGACGGUACCCAAAGAAUAAGCACCGGCUAACUUCGUG